ensembl:lncRNA
AAUACGCGUUCAUAAUCAGCACCCAAAAGCUGAGAGUGUAGGACUCGAGUUCUAUCAGUGUUUUCUCAUUAGAAACGCGCGCGGUGCGGCUCAUUGGCAGCUCGUCCGCUCGCUAGUUGGGCCUGUAACGCUGCGCUCUGGUUGGGGCUGAAAACCCAAGAAAAAGUCUGAAGACCCGCCACCAGGUAGCCACUUGUUUAUCUGUGAUGUUUUAAAUGUAAAAUAACUCCAACCGCA